CCCAGGGCUCACGCCCUGGGCUACUCUAUUUCGCCCCUGGCGGGGCU
rnacentral:sRNA from 1 species